AUGAACGCUGGCGGCGUGCCUAAUACAUGCAAGUCGAGCGAACAGACGAGGAGCUUGCUCCUCUGACGUUAGCGGCGGACGGGUGAGUAACACGUGGAUAACCUACCUAUAAGACUGGGAUAACUUCUGGAAACCGGAGCUAAUACCGGAUAAUAUAUUGAACCGCAUGGUUCAAUAGUGAAAGACGGUUUUGCUGUCACUUAUAGAUGGAUCCGCGCCGCAUUAGCUAGUUGGUAAGGUAACGGCUUACCAAGGCGACGAUGCGUAGCCGACCUGAGAGGGUGAUCGGCCACACUGGAACUGAGACACGGUCCAGACUCCUACGGGAGGCAGCAGUAGGGAAUCUUCCGCAAUGGGCGAAAGCCUGACGGAGCAACGCCGCGUGAGUGAUGAAGGUCUUCGGAUCGUAAAACUCUGUUAUUAGGGAAGAACAAAUGUGUAAGUAACUAUGCACGUCUUGACGGUACCUAAUCAGAAAGCCACGGCUAACUACGUG
rnacentral:rRNA from 1 species